rnacentral:rRNA from 1 species
UACGGAGGGAGCUAGCGUUGUUCGGAUAUACUGGGCGUAAAGCGCACGUAGGCGGCGCAGCAAGUCAGGGGUGAAAUCCCGGAGCUCAACUCCGGAACUGCCUUUGAAACUGCAGUACUAGAAUCCUGGAGAGGCGAGUGGAAUUCCGAGUGUAGAGGUGAAAAUUCGUAGAUAUUCGGAAGAAACACCAGUGGCGAAGGGACGGCCUGCACCA